rnacentral:rRNA from 1 species
CAGGCCUAACACAUGCAAGUCGAACGAGAAAGUGGAGCAAUCCAUGAGUAAAGUGGCGACCGGGUGAGUAACACGUGACUAACCUACCUUUCAGUGGGGAAUAACCUCGGGAAACCGGGGCUAAUACCGCAUAACGUCUUCGGACCAAAGGAGCAAUUCGCUGGAAGAGGGGGUCGCGGCCGAUUAGCUAGUUGGCGGGGUAAUGGCCCACCAAGGCAAUGAUCAGUAGCCGACCUGAGAGGGCGCACGGACACACUGGAACUGAAACACGGUCCAGACUCCUACGGGAGGCAGCAGUGGGGAAUUUUGCGCAAUGGGGGAAACCCUGACGCAGCAACGCCGCGUGGAGGAUGAAGUCCCUUGGGACGUAAACUCCUUUCGACCGGGAAGAUUAUGACGGUACCGGAAGAAGAAGCCCCGGCUAACUUCGUGCCAGCAGCCGCGGUAAUAC